rnacentral:rRNA from 1 species
GGACGCUAAGGUGAAGCCGAUCCUAUAGCUGGGAGAGGGGCUCUGCCGCAUCCCCCUGGGGUGCGAGCAUCCUCCUUCUUCCCAGCACCAGGGAAAGGCAUGGUAUCACUACUCCAGGACCUUGGGCAGGGCCCUCACCUUGAGCCCCGCCUACGUGUGCUGACUCUGAGUGACUUAUCGGAUCGCACGGGCCCCGUCCCGGCGACGCACCAAUCGGGCUUCCGCCUCAUCAGCUAGUUGGCUGGGACCACGCCAGCCAAGGGAACGACGGGUAACAGAGAAUCAGGGUUCGGUUCUGGAGAGGCAGCCUGAGACACGGCUACCACUCCCAAGGGAGGCAGCAGGCGCGUAAAUUACCCACUCCAGACUCUGGGAGGUAGUGACGAGAAGUGCUGGAUGGAAGCGCGUCGCCGUGUCUGUCCAUCUGGAAUGUGCCGCACCAAAAAAAUGCCUCUAAAUGCGAGUCGAGGGCAAGUCUGGUGCCAGCAGCCGCGGUAACUCCAGCUCGACUAGCAUAUGCUAAUGCUGCUGCGGUUAAAAGGCUCGUAGUUUGCUCUGGUCUCCGGCGUCGGUCCGUAUCGUGGCAGAGCAGCGGUGCGGUCGGCGUUGGGUCACUGGGCGGGUUUUCGGCAGUCUCGCCCGGGCACGGGGUGGAAGCAACCCGGAUCCAGCGACCAAGGUCCCUCUACCCUCCGCGCCGCAGCGGGGGCUCUUCUGGGGCGUCUGGCUCCCGGGGGACCACCUUUCGGUAAGUCCCGUGCAUCACCCGCCCCCGUUACCUAGACAAAAUUAGGGUGCUCAAAGCAGGCCAAACCCACAGCCAACAUAAGGCAGCAUGGAAUAACAGAAGCGAAAGCUGACCCUCUUCUGCUGGUCCCGAGGUGCUACCCCUUCAUUCAGACUCAAGGAUGCAGAGGGACGGGCGAGGCUGGAAGUACUCCGGAGGUAGAGGUGAAAUUCAAGGAUCUCCGGAAGACUAGCAGAAGCGAAAGCGUUCAGCUAGUACGUCCCCCUUAAUCAGGAACGAAAGUUUGGGUAGCGAAGAUGAUCAGAUACCGUCUUAGUCCGGACCGUAAACGAUGCCAACAGGCUGUCGGCCGGCAAUGGACCGCCGCUAGGUCACCAUGACCCUUCUCCUGCCGUGAAACCCCGGGGCCUCCCAACGAUGGGACCCCAGGCUCCGGGCGGCGGGAGAGAGACAAUGCAGAUUGAAAUAGCAACUCG